AUUGAACGCUGGCGGCAUGCCUUACACAUGCAAGUCGAACGGUAACAGGUCUUCGGAUGCUGACGAGUGGCGAACGGGUGAGUAAUACAUCGGAACGUGCCUAGUAGUGGGGGAUAACUACUCGAAAGAGUGGCUAAUACCGCAUGAGAUCUACGGAUGAAAGCAGGGGAUCGCAAGACCUUGUGCUACUAGAGCGGCCGAUGGCAGAUUAGGUAGUUGGUGGGAUAAAAGCUUACCAAGCCGACGAUCUGUAGCUGGUCUGAGAGGACGAUCAGCCAAACUGGGACUGCGAAACGGCCCAGACUCCUACGGGAGGCAGCAGUGGGGAAUUUUGGACAAUGGGCGAAAGCCUGAUCCAGCAAUGCCGCGUGCAGGAUGAAGGCCUUCGGGUUGUAAACUGCUUUUGUACGGAACGAAAAGCCCCGGGUUAAUACCCUGGGGUCAUGACGGUACCGUAAGAAUAAGCACCGGCUAACUACGUGCCAGCCGCCGCGGUAA
rnacentral:rRNA from 1 species